rnacentral:lncRNA from 1 species
UUGAAAUUGAGAACUCCAUUUUUAAUAUAGUAUAGAUUUAUCAAAUUGGCAUUAUUUUGCAUCUCUCAUCUCUAUUUUGUGUUAUAUUUGUAGGGACAAACCAAAAUUUGCACUGGGGUAAAAUCGGAAAGAAAAAAAAAUUGAAUAUUAAUAAAAUUAUAUUUUAAAAAAAAUUGACGUAUUUUCCAUGCAUAUUACUACACAAAAACAUGCACCCCCAAAAAAAUUAAGUUUUUCUUGCCACCCACAACCCCCCCCCUAUCUUUUUAUUAAAUUUUUCUUGCCACCCCCAACCCCCUUCCCCCAAAUUUUUGUAUAUUUUACUCGCCACCCCCACACCUCCUCCCCCCCUUCCCAAUUUUUUUAGGGUAAAUUUGGUUUAAAACAAUAAUAAAUUUUCAAAUUUUGGUUUUUCCCACAAAUAUGGCUGAACAUCGGUUCAAAACCGA